GUCUAGCAGAAAGGCUCUGUUGUGCAUUAGAGAAGAACAAAGACACAGGAGCAGCUCCUCAGGGGAGAAGAUUUGGAAUCAUUAAAAUUGCAUCAAGAGUGAGGUGGCAGGAUGGAGAACAUGCUGGAAUGUGCACUCAUGGUCUUGUGGCUUCAGCUUGGAUGGCUGCGUGGAGAAGACCGAGUGGAGCAGAGUCCUCAGACCCUGAGAACCCAGGAGGGGGGCAGUCUCAGCCUCAACUGCAGCCACACUGUCAGCAGCUUCAGAGGGCUACAGUGUUAUAGACAAGACCCCAGGAAGGGCCCUGAACUCCUCUUCCUUCUUUACUCAGCUGGGGAUGAAAAGCAGAAAGAAAGACUGAGAGCCACCUUGUUAAAGAAGGGAAGUUCUCUGCACAUCGAAGCCCCCGAACCCGAAGACUCAGCCACUUACCUCUGCACUGUGCAGACACAGUGCUCCCCAGGCACCUGCAGACUGUACCCAAACCCUGAGGCUGCGGCUCCAGAAUAAGGGCGUCUUUGCUGUUUUCCUUCCUCCCGAGCACCCAAAGCCUCUUCCCAAGUGGUCCUAUGGAGAACGAACUCUUGUGACACAGCCAGACAGCAGAGAUUACUGGGCAUUCUGUCCAGGAUCCUAGACAGUCCCCUCCGUGUGUCCAUGGAGCAGACUGCUCUUUUAAACAGCCCAGAGCUUCGCCCGUGUAGAUUCGAAAGGGAUAGUGGUGGUAUGGAGUCUUGGUUUACAGUCUUGGGCCCCUUGAAAAGAAGCCACAGGAAUGUACCUUCCUCCCUAAAAUAAUUUUUUUGGCAUUCUCUUAUAAUAAUCUGGCCACACAUCUGUAAGAGAAUCUUUCCCAUUUUAAUAUACUCUCGAAGGUCAUAUCUCCACCAGCCCAAUACUACAUUUCUCUUCUCCUUAAUAAUCAAAUUAUUUGACUGUCUAGACUUACUGUCCCCUCCUUGAACCUGACUUCUGUGAGCAUUAUUCCGUGAGAAGCUCUCACUUAAACCAGUGGCUUUGGUGGUGAUAAAGCCAAUGAUUGUUUCUCAACCUCAUCUCAUCUGAGAUUCUCACUUUUUCACCCUUUUUAAAAAUAAAAUUUCUUUUUUUUAAUCAAAAUAAUACUCUCAUUUAUUUACAAAAUCAAAUAGCACUCUCUUUUUCUUCCCACUCUUCCACAUCGUCUAUUUUUGCCUCCCCAGAGGAACCAC